ensembl:lncRNA
AACAUACGGCAGUGCGCCGCUCAGGGCAGACUAAACAUCUGUUCGCACAACUUCCUGAGUGGAGCGUCGCCGGUGGGUGGGCCAUGCGAAGGCGUGUGCGUUAACCCCAGCGCUGCGGCUCCGGGGCCGCCGCCAACAACGGCGCAGAGGCGGGGGCCGCGGCAGGGGGGUUCCCGACCGGCGGGCGGUGCAAAGGAAUGGACGUUAAACGCGAGGUCGAGGACGGAGAGGAUUUCAGCCGGAACUCGACAUUUUUACUUUCUAGUUUUCAGACUGAGUUCGGAAUGAGGGGUGAACUGGUCCGAAUGGUUGGAUUGUUUACCAAGUUCAGUCCUGUCGCUGUGCUUUUGUGACACCUACAAAUGGUUUGAGAUCCUCCAUUGGUGCUCAAUUAAUAUUAAUUGAUAAAGAAUUCCCAACAGUGGUGAUACCUCUAUUGACAAAAUGUGCUUUUCUUAUAUAAAUCAGAUAUUGUUGUGUUUUGGACUGUUGUAAAAUGACAUACAUUUGGAGUUGUGUUGCAUGGACACUUUUAGACUCU